rnacentral:rRNA from 1 species
ACGAACGCUGGCGGCGUGCUUAACACAUGCAAGUCGAGCGGUAAGGCCCUUUCGGGGGUACACGAGCGGCGAACGGGUGAGUAACACGUGGGUGACCUGCCCUCAGCUCUGGGAUAAGCCUGGGAAACCGGGUCUAAUACUGGAUAUGACUCCAUGACGCAUGUUGUGGGGUGGAAAGCCUUGUGCGGCUGAGGAUGGGCCCGCGGCCUAUCAGCUUGUUGGUGGGGUGANGGCCUACCAAGGCGACGAUCGGUAGCUGGUCUGAGAGGACGACCAGCCACACUGGGACUGAGACACGGCCCAGACUCCUACGGGAGGCAGCAGUGGGGAAUAUUGGACAAUGGGCGCAAGCCUGAUCCAGCGAUGCCGCGUGUGUGAAGAAGGCCUGCGGGUUGUAAAGCACUUUCAGUAGGGAAGAAAAGCCGAGUGCUAAUAUCAUUCGGUCUUGACGUUACUUACAGAAGAAGCACCGGCUAACUCCGU